CGUAAUCGUUUACCUGGCGAGUCUGUUUACUACCUGGAAGUUUCCUGUCACUGGAUUUCUGUUGGAUGCCAGAGCUAUAUAAGUGAGAAACUCCGGAUUUCUCCACAAGAAGAAGACUACACCUAUAAUUUAAAGGUAAGUAGCUCUUCUCCUUUUCUCAUCCUCUACUUCUUCUUCUUUACCUUUUCUUCUUCUUGCAUUCUUCUGCU
rnacentral:lncRNA from 12 species